rnacentral:rRNA from 1 species
CCCAAACCAAUAAAGUUUUCUUUAUUGGGGUUGCGGACAUAUCAUAACGAAGAGGUAUCGUAAUUGAAGAGGUUUGGAAAGACCCACCACAGAAGGUAAUAGUCCUGUAUGUUAAACGAGAAGACUUCAGAUAUGAUCCAGAGUACCACGGGACACGUGAAACCCUGUGGGAAGCAGGAGGGACCACCCUCCAAGGCUAAAUACUACCUAGUG